rnacentral:rRNA from 1 species
UACGGAAGGCAGCAGUGGGGAAUAUUGGACAAUGGGCGAAAGCCUGAUCCAGCCAUGCCGCAUGAGUGAAGAAGGCCUUCGGGUUGUAAAGCUCUUUUAGUGAGAAAGAUAAUGACGGUACUCACAGAAGAAGUCCUGGCUAACUCCGUGCCAGCAGCCGCGGUAAUACGGAGAGGGCUAGCGUUAUUCGGAAUUAUUGGGCGUAAAGAGCGCGUAGGCUGAUUUAGUAAGUUAAAAGUGAAAUCCCAAAGCUUAACUUUGGAAUUGCUUUUUAAAACUGCUAGUCUAGAGAUUUGAAAGAGGAUAGAGGAAUUCCUAGUGUAGAGGUGAAAUUCGUAAAUAUUAGGAGGAACACCAGUGGCGAAGGCGUCUAUCUGGUUCAAAUCUGACGCUGAGGCGCGAAGGGCGUGGGGAGCGAAACGAGGGAUUAGAUACC